rnacentral:pre_miRNA from 1 species
UGUCCCCCAGCCUGAGGUGCAGUGCUGCAUCUCUGGUCAGUUGGGAGUCUGAGAUGAAGCACUGUAGCUCAGGAAGGGAGAAGU